CAACACCGCUGGGGCCCAGCGAGUGGCCCAGAUGCAGGCCAUCAAGUGUGGGAGGUGGGAGACGAAGCUGUAGGUAAAACUUGUCUGCUGAUCAGUUACAUCACCAAUGCAUUUCCUGGAGAAUACAUCCCUACCAUCUUUGACAACUAUUCUGCCAGUGUUAUGGUAGAUGGAAAACCAGUGAAUCUAGGCUUAUGUGAUGCAGCUGGACAAGAAAAUUAUGACAGAUUACGGCCCCUCUGUUAUCCACAAACAGAUAUAUUGAUUUGCUUUACCCUCGUGUUUCCUGAAUUAUUUGAAAAUGUCCAUGUCAAGUGGUAUCCAGAAGUGCGAUACCACUGUCCCAACACCGCCAUCAUCCUGGUGGGAACGAAACUCGACGAUAGGGAUGAUAAAGACAUAAUUGAGAAGCUGAAGGAGAUGAAGCUGACACCCAUCACUCAUCACUUACCCACAGGGGUUAGCCAUGGCUAAGGAGAUUGUUGCUGUAAAAUACUUGGGGUGCUAGGCUCUCAAGCAGCCAGGCCUCAAGACAGUGUUAGAUGAAGCGCUCUCCGUGCGUUCUCUGCAUGCCACCCCCCCACCCCCGCCUCCCACUCCAUCAAGAAGCAGAAGAGAAACUGCCUGCUCUGCUCUUGUAAAUGGCCAUGCUCCUCCUCCAUCCCUGCCCGCUUUGUAUGCUUUGCUCAAAAACAGUGGAGACUUCACACUCAAUGCCAAGUUUUUGUUCCAGAUUAAUUCUCCAUAA